AUCCAGCUGACGAGUCCCAAACAGGACGGAGCUGCGCGCAACCUGGAC
rnacentral:hammerhead_ribozyme from 1 species